GAUGAAGAACGUAGCGAAAUGCGAUAAGUAAUGUGAAUUGCAGAAUUCAGUGAAUCAUCGAAUCUUUGAACGCACAUUGCGCCCCUUGGUUUUCCGAGGGGCAUGCCUGUUCGAGCGUCAUUAUAACCCCUCAAGCUCAGCUUGGUGUUGGGGCCUGCUGCACUGGCAGCCCUUAAAAUCAGUGGCGGCGCCAUCUGGCUCUAAGCGUAGUAAUUCUUCUCGCUAUGGAGUCCUGGUGGAUGCUUGCCAUCAACCCCCAAUUUUUCUAUGGUUGACCUCGGAUCAGGUAGGGAUACCCGCUGAACUUAAGCAUAUCAAUAAGCGGAGGA
rnacentral:misc_RNA from 1 species